rnacentral:rRNA from 1 species
UACGUAGGGACCAAGCGUUGUUCGGAUUUACUGGGCGUAAAGGGCGCGUAGGCGGCGUGUUAAGUCGCUUGUGAAAUCUCUAAGCUUAACUUAGAACGGUCAAGUGAUACUGAUGUGCUAGAGUGCAGAAGGGGCAACCGGAAUUCUUGGUGUAGCGGUGAAAUGCGUAGAUAUCAAGAGGAACACCUGAGGUGAAGACGGGUUGCUGGGCUGACACUGACGCUGAGGCGCGAAAGCUAGGGUAGCAAACGGG